UACGUAGGGUGCGAGCGUUAUUCGGAAUUACUGGGCGUAAAGCGUGCGCAGGCGGUUUUGUAAGCCAGAUGUGAAAUCCCCGGGCUUAACCUGGGAAUGGCAUUUGGGACUGCAAGGCUGGAGUGUGGCAGAGGAGACUGGAAUUCCUGGUGUAGCAGUGAAAUGCGUAGAUAUCAGGAGGAAUACCGAUGGCGAAGGCAGGUCUCUGGGCUGACACUGACGCUCAUGCACGAAAGCGUGGGGAGCAAACAGG
rnacentral:rRNA from 1 species